rnacentral:lncRNA from 1 species
AGAACAUUGUGCCUGGGAUCUUUGUUCGCAAGCUGUGUCCAGGUCGGGCGUCAAUGAGGGUCCCACCUGUGGAUCGAGGACGAAGAAGAAUGUGGAAAUUUCCGAACCUUGGCGGACAGACACCCGACUGAAAAGGGCUAGGCCACCCGCAGCGGCGGGGUUACCCGAAGUGUCUAAGGCUCUGCUGUAAUUGCCAACGUAGCCCGGAGAAAAGGGGCAACCGCUGUGGAAGGCCGCUGCGACGCCUCGGGCUCCUCAGAAGCUGAAAUGGGGCACAAGGCCAAGCAGAAUGGUUUUCAUCUCCAAAGCGCCGUUUUACCUUCGCUAGCAUCCCCGUCAGCUGGACCAAGGAAGGGUUUUGGGUCCGCAACUGUGAGUCCAACCCCAGUCCGCGGAGCCACUAGCUUCCGCAACACCCUUUUCGAAGGCACCGCCCCAACUCUUGAAACCUGUAUAUUGUACAACUUUUGUUAAAACACUGACGGCAUUCAUCUCCCAACGCUGUUUUGCGUGAUGGGUCCCUCUGACCUCCACUAAGAAAGGGGUUUCGGGGCCACUUGUCUCUAUGAAUUUUCAAUAAUAAUAAUAAUAAUAAUAAUAAUAAUAAUAACAACAAUAAUACAUUUUGUCCUAAUGAUUCGUGUGGACCAAGAAUGAGGUGGUUAUUGUUUUGGUACUGGUAAAAUCAAAUAUUUUUCAAAGACUCUCCCUCAAC